CCUACGGGUGGCAGCAGUGGGGAAUAUUGCACAAUGGGCGAAACCCUGAUGCAGCGACGCCGCGUGAGUGAAGAAGUAUCUCGGUACGUAAAGCUCUAUCAGCAGGGAAGAUAAUUACGGUACCUGACCAAUAAGCCCCGGCUAACUACGUGCCGGCAGCCGUGGUUAGACGUAGGGGGCAAGCGUUAUCCGGAUUUACUGGGUGUAAAGGGAGCGUAGACGGCAGCACAAGUCUGGAGUGAAAUCCCGGGGCUUAACCCCGGAACUGCUUUGGAAACUGUGAGGCUGGAGUUCAGGAGGGGUAAGCGGAAUGCGUGGUGUAGCGGUGAAAUGCGUAGAUAUUAGGAGGAACACCGAUGGCGAAGGCAGCUUACUGGACUGUAACUGACGUUGAGGCUCGAAAGCGUGGGGAGCAAACAGGAUUAGAUACCCGAGUAGUC
rnacentral:rRNA from 1 species